rnacentral:rRNA from 1 species
GACGAACGCUGGCGGCGUGCUUAACACAUGCAAGUCGAACGGAAAGGCCCUGCUUUUGUGGGGUGCUCGAGUGGCGAACGGGUGAGUAAAACGUGAGUAACCUGCCCUUGACUUUGGGAUAACUUCAGGAAACUGGGGCUAAUACCGGAUAGGAGCUCCUGCUGCAUGGUGGGGGUUGGAAAGAUUCGGCGGUUGGGGAUGGACUCGCGGCUUAUCAGCUUGUUGGGGGGGUAGUGGCUUACGAAGGCUUUGAAGGGUAGCCGGCCUGAGAGGGUGACCGGCGACAUGGGGACUGAGAUACGGCCCAGACGCCUACGGGCGGCAGCAGUGGGGAAUAUUGCACAAUGGGCGGAAGCCUGAUGCAGCAACGCCGCGUGCGGGAUGACGGCUUUCGGGGUGUAAACCGCUUUCGCCUGUGACGAAGCGUGAGUGACGGUAAUGGGUAAAGAAGCACCGGCUAACUACGUG